GUAUGUAUCAGGGUUGGCACUUUAAUUGGUUUGUAACAGGUUUUGAGUUCCGUUUGAGAGUCUUUAUUCAACCACAGCCAUUAACAAAAGUUUUAGUGGGUUUUCAAAACCAUGACAGCUCCGCAGAUUGAACAGUUUUGUCAACGCUCUUGGAUUCCCACUAUACAUGAGACUUGCAAUAGUCAAAAGAAGUGAUUAUGACACACCACGAUGCCCAGAAAGCUGGCCAGCAAGGAGAGAAUGGCAUCUGAUUCUGAUAUAGAUGCAUGCUCGAUCUACUAUAUAUUCCUUAUAGUCAAAAGUUUGCCAAAUGGAGUUUUACCUCAAAUACUUAAUUUGAUCAUUAAGAAUCAACAUCAAUUUGAUAUUAUAAGUAGUUUUUAAAAAAUAGACAAAAUAAAAAUGGCAUGUCAUAGGCCUUUGCCAUGAUUUCAUUACCAAUGACAAAAAUUAGGGUUAAAGACCUAAUUGUAUCAAUU
rnacentral:lncRNA from 1 species